rnacentral:rRNA from 1 species
UACGGAGGGUGCAAGCGUUAUCCGGAUUCACUGGGUUUAAAGGGUGCGUAGGUGGCGCCGUAAGUCAGGUGUGAAAUCUCGGGGCUCAACCCCGAAACUGCACUUGAUACUGCGGUGCUCGAGUACUGGAGAGGGAACUGGAAUUUACGGUGUAGCAGUGAAAUGCGUAGAUAUCGAGAGGAACACCUGCGGCGAAGGCGGGUUGCUGGGCUGACACUGACGCUGAGGCGCGAAAGCCAGGGAGCGAACGGG